rnacentral:rRNA from 1 species
UACAGAGGUCUCAAGCGUUGUUCGGAAUCACUGGGCGUAAAGGGUGUGUAGGUGGCGUGGUAAGUCAGAUGUGAAAGCCCGGGGCUCAACCUCGGAAUUGCAUCCGAUACUGCCGUGCUAGAGUGCUUAAGAGGAGUCUAGAAUUCACGGUGUAGCAGUGAAAUGCGUAGAUAUCGUGAGGAAUACCAAAGGCGAAGGCAGGACUCUGGGAAGCUACUGACACUGAGACACGAAGGCCAGGGGAGCAAACGGG